GGGGGAAUCACGGAGGAGGGAUCCUGAGGAAGAGGAGGCUCAUGAAGAAGAAGAAGAAGAAGAAGGAUUCUGAGGAGAGAGAAUCACUGCUCUGAGAUUCAACACACUAAUCCUUGAUGAGAGAUGUGCGGAGCUGUCAUUUUCUCCAAGCAUUCAUGUACAGUCACUGGGGUUUCCACAGGUCUCUUCCACAGAGACACUCUGCCUUUUAGCAGGUCACUGCGUGACAUGGCACAGAGGAUGUAUUGCUUUAGGGGGACAGAAGCUUUUCCAGAAGUAUUUUUAAAAGAAAAAGAAAUUGUGUUGAGGCAGAAAUUUAGCAGCAGUUGGAUCCCUCUGCUCCUAUGACUCUUAGUCUAUAAAUUGGGAUAAUCACUUCUGAGGGAGGAAGGAAGGAAGCUGAAUGCAGAGAUAUCUGUGCUAAAUGUCCAGUGGCUUUGGCACUUCAGCUGUGAAGUCUUGUAAUAUGCACAGGCUCUGGCUGGUGGAGACAGCUGGGAGAGCAAAAGCAAGAAAACUCCUGGGCUGACAUAAAGACAUUUUAAUUGGCGGAGGAAAAACCUCAGUGACACAAAGGGAGUCACCCACCACAUCCCAGCAGCCAGUCCUGGAACAGCAGCCGCCUUGGCAAGAGAACCCCAGCUCCUUCCUGUGCCCCAAUGGUGCGGGGGCUGUGGGGUGUCCCCGACCGUCCCCUCCCAGCCUCCUGCCCUCCCACCCUGCGUCCUGGGGACAGAGUGGGCACUGGAGAAAGCCUUUGCCAGGAUGCCAGCGCUGCUCAGGAGCAGCUGGAACGCUGGUGCUUCACCCAGCCUGGUUUAGUCACAACUCCAAACCCCCAAACCUCACCACGGUAUGGGCUGCCAUAAAACAUUAACCCGGGCCUGGCCAAAAGCAAUACUAAAUUAAUCCAGGUGGAACCGUGGAAGAGAGACUCACAAGGGAAAAUGUGUUCAUUUCAACAAUUUAUGCGGAGUUUAAGUCUUUUGGAUUUUGGGGGUGAUAUUGUCCUGUUAGGAGGGCUGAUGAAUGGGCUCAGAUGAUGAGUGGUUUAUUGAACAUGAUAUAAUUAUGAUGAGGGAAAUGGGAAAUAUUUUGUCAUGGCUUCAGAAAAGCUCUGUGGGAAAGAGUUACCCAAGGUUGUCUUGGUAUAGCAGGAGGGGAUGGACGGAAAUUCUCUCUUGAGAGACUGGUUCAGACUUGGGCAUUUAGGUGAUGGGUGCUACACAGGAACCCAGAUAGAACAGUUCAGCUGUGUUUGAACUCAUUGAAGGAUUAAAUCCCCUUCAGAGCAGCAGCGUCAUUUUGGGUUUCUUUGGAAACUGUGGUCCGUGAGUUUAUAUCUCUUAAAGACAGAUAGAUAAAUUAGUUCCCACAGUUGUUUUCUCAGCUGGAUUUGGGUUCAUAGCAGUUGAAAUUCCCUCCACAGAAAUGAACAAUCACCCCUUACCUCAGCAACCCCAUGGGCUGCACAGUUCAGUGCUUACUUCAAAUACCCUGAAAUAUGCCAGUAAGCACUGGUGGAGGAUGUGAUCUUCCACUGAGUCCCGCACAUGACACGCAUUUCCUACUGGCUGUAUGACAGUAAAACUGAGGGGAAAUUGCCCCAAAGCCCUGGAAGCUGGACCAGGGGAGGAGUGAGCAGCAGUGGCUGUUUUGGGGUUCUUUUGAUGCCAUGUCUGAGGGUGUAACACGGCUGAGGAGCUGCAGGAAUGGAGCACGAGGGACUUCCAGUAAAAGUGUUGCUUGGUUUUUCUGGCCUCUAUUGUUUAUCAGCUAAAGCUGAAAAACCUAUAAUCGCCCAAAGGAAUAACAGUCUUAGUCUUAAGCUCUCAGGAUCUCUCAAUUUAGAAGCUUUUCAACUUUUCAAGAUUUCAGGAGUGUGAGUGCAAGAAAUAAUAUCAUACAUUAGAGACUGUAAUUCUGGAAACAUUUGAAGGACAGAAUACAGCAAAAUUGGUUGCAAAUGCCUCCCUCCUUUAUUUUUCUAAGAAUACACUCUUCAUAAUACCUUGACUUUUAACCUGUAGAAUCGCUGUUAAUGUAAGCAUCACUAUCGUGGCAAACAGAUACAUUUUUUUCUUUUUGUUCUGAUUUUAUAAUAAUGAUAUUGUUAUAACAAAACCAAUUGCACAGAAUAACUGCAGAUUUUGAAAAGAAUUUUGAUCCUUGUUAACAUUUUGAAAAGUAAGAGCUGGAAUUUCUGGAAAACCACAGUGUCAAUUCUCACAAAAGUGUGUUUAAUUUAUCGAUUAUGGACAUUUUAAAGCUUCUGUUGACCUGUAUUUGAAUGCAUUUGUAGAAGUUACUGUAUUGCUAUUAUGAUUAUUAUAAUGUUAUUGUGAUGGCUUGAUUUCUGUGUCACAAAACUUUGGUUUCAAUUGUUGCCCAUGUAAGUAAAUUAAAUGGCAAUUUAAAAUUGAUCCUGAUAAUUUAAAAUAUGCAUUCAGGAGAAGGCUG